UAGUAGUUCUAUCUUGGAUCUUUCUUUGGG
rnacentral:piRNA from 1 species